AGCGCCAGCGAUAGAGCGUUGCCGCAGGCAACGACCCGAAGGGCGAAGCGCGCAGCGCUGAGUAAUCCUUCCCCCACCACCA
rnacentral:sRNA from 1 species